rnacentral:rRNA from 1 species
UGCGUAGGCGGGUUUCUAAGUCAGAGGUGAAAGCCUGGAGCUCAACUCCAGAACUGCCUUUGAUACUGGAAGUCUUGAGUAUGGCAGAGGUGAGUGGAACUGCGAGUGUAGAGGUGAAAUUCGUAGAUAUUCGCAAGAACACCAGUGGCGAAGGCGGCUCACUGAGCCAUUACUGACGCUGAGGCACGAAAGCGUGGGGAGCAAACA